ensembl:lncRNA
AAAAAAGUAGCUGCCGAGAAGGCUUUGAUCACUGCAAAAAUCAAGGGACAUUGCAGUGGGAAACCUGGUUGUCUCAACAAGUGGAAGGGUUGUGACAAUAGCCAGGCUAGAAGAUUUGAUUAUGGAGCAUCACACAAAAAAAUAGCUAUUAAAUGGGUACUUCCGUGGGUCCUUACCUCAGAGAACUGAGGCACAGAGGCAUCAAAAAAACAUCACUAAUGAUUUUAAGAUUGUUCACUGCAGCACAGCAAAGAAGAAAGCAAUCCCAAGCAUGAAGACUCUGCUUUUGCUGAUAUAUAUCAUUGGUAUAGCCAUUGCUUCCCCAAUCCAGAGAAGUGGAAUUCUAUUCAGGAGAGGCUAUGAGGGCAAUAUUAAUUCCAUCAGUGCAGAUAAAGGAGUAUUAAAGACCAGCUCUGCCGUUACGAAUGGGAACCAGCAGAAUGGAGAUGAGGGUCACCAGGAAGGAGAAAUAUUUCUGGAUCUCACCAAAGAAUAUGCCAUUCCUGAAGAAGUUUCUACAGCCGAUCCUAUCCGUUCCCAAGGAGGCUAUCCGCACGAAACCGAGAGCCUGUUGCUCCAUGAGGACAACAGCUUUGUGCAGGCCAAAGGCCACAGUCAGCCCAACACGGAAAAAAACAGGGAGACCUAUGUUGAAUAUCCAACAGAGAAAGAGGUUGACAGCCAGGAUGUAGCGCUUCUCAAAACGAUUAGCAAUGCGGAACAAAAUGGCUCGCAGCAUUUGAGAGAGAAGAAUGCAGUUCAUGGUCCAGUGUUGACCACAAGGGAGUCCAUCGUUUCGGAAGCAGAUCUGUUUGCUGGCAAACAGCACAUCAAGGAUUUCCAGGCCAGCCGUGAGUUUGACGUGAGAAAAAAUGUCCCUUAUCAUCUGAACAGCUACCAUUUCAGUGAUGAAGGCAUGCAAGGAGAUGACCCAGGUCAUACUGAUGACUCUGAGUCUAGUCAGCAGGUGGAGAGCCAGAGCAAUUUCAGUCAGCAGCCUGGAGAACCAAAUAGUUCAAGUGGUUCAAACGAGGAAGAGGUGAAACAGGCCAGCACUUCAGGGAACUCUGGAAGCCCAGAGUACUCCAAUGGGUCCCCUGACUCCAGCAGUUCCAGCGAUUCUAGUGACCCCAGUGAUUCUAGCACCUCCAGUGACUCCAGCAGUUCCAGUGAUUCUAGUGACUCUAGUGACUCUAGUGACUCCAGCAGUUCCAGUGAUUCUAGUGACUCCAGUGACUCUAGUGACUCCAGCAGUUCCAGUGAUUCUAGUGACUCCAGUGACUCUAGUGACACCAGCAGUUCCAGUGAUUCUAGUGACUCUAGUGACUCCAGUGAUUCUAGCACCUCCAGUGACUCCAGCAGUUCCAGUGAUUCUAGUGACUCUAGUGACUCCAGCAGUUCCAGUGAUUCUAGUGACUCCAGUGACUCUAGUGACACCAGCAGUUCCAGUGAUUCUAGUGACUCUAGUGACUCCAGUGAUUCUAGCACCUCCAGUGACUCCAGCAGUUCCAGUGACUCUAGUGACUCCAGUAGUUCCAGUGACUCUAGUGACUCCAGCAGUUCCAGUGAUUCCAGUGACUCCAGCAGUUCCAGUGACUCUAGUGACUCCGGGAGUUCCAGUGACUCUAGUGACUCCAGUAGUUCCAGUGAUUCCAGUGACUCUAGCAGUUCCAGUGACUCUAGUGACUCCAGUGAUUCCAGUGACUCUAGCAGUUCUAGUGACUCUAGUGACUCCAGUGACUCCAGCAGCUCCAGUGACUCAAGUAAUACUUCUGAGUCUAGUGAUUCCAGUGACUCUAGUGAUUCUAGCAACUCUUCUGACUCCAGUGACUCCAGUGGGCAAAGUGAUUCCAGCAGCUCCACUGAUUCCACUGAUUCUGAUAGUUCCAAUGACAGCAGCACCUCCAGUGACUCUAGUGAUUCCAAUAAUUCUAGCACUUCCAAAUAAGUGAGAAGUUGCUCAGAUAGUACUGGUGCCACCCAUAGAUAUCAGUACUGAUAAGGGAAAAUGGUAGAAUUUGGGACAAAAUUGCAAUAGGGGGAGUGAAUGGGGACAGCAGGUCCUGUAGUACUGAGGCAAUAUUUUGUGGCGUUCCAAAGCGCCUUUCACAAUUGAAAUGGCUGCCUUGCUCCACGAGGCAGGGAAGGCGAAUGUGAUGAUUCUGUCUAAAGAUGAAUUUCCAACCAUUUCAAAUGACGCAUGAGCCCUGCUCAGUUGUAUGAAGGGGCAGUAAAGGAGCUUUGUCAUUGUUGUCACGUGGCUCCUUCCAGCUUCCCACGCAUUCGGUACCAAUGUUUGCAGCAUGGAGCCUGCUGUACUCAGGGGGUCUCCUUGCACAAUUUAGUACCUUGAUUGUGCAGGGACCGUGCAUGAGAGGAGCUGGAAGUGACAUGUGACAACCGUGGUGGACCUCACAGCCACAUUGGACUCACAUAUCCCCUUCACAUAUCCAUGAGCAGAUUUUGAGUGUCUUCUGUCCUGAUCGUUCUCUUGACUUGGCCACAGCAAAAUGAAGGGCAACCUCUAAAGAAGAAACAUUUGCCAUCAUUAUGAAACUAGAUUUCUCUAGGGCAGGAGGGAGAAGCAUCUCCACCUACCUUUCUGAGCAACCUUCCAGGAGCCACAUGUCAUUGGUGGGCGUGGCCAGAGGCAAAAGUAGGUGGAGCAAUGAAUGAUGAUUUCCCUUUUAUACAGCAGGCUGGGUUUCCGCAGUCACUCUGGGUGACUUCCAGCAAAAUAUUUAAAUACAAUAAUUCAUCAAAUAUUAAAAGCUUCCCCAAACAGGGCUGCCUUUAGAUGUCUUCUAAAAGUCAGAUAGUUGUUUAUUUCCUUGACAUCUGGUGGGAGGGCAUUCCACAGGGUGGGGGCCACUACCGAGAAGGCCCUCUGCCUGGUUCCCUGUAACCUCAAUUCUUGCAGUGAGGGAACCGCCAGAAGGCCUUUGGAGCUGGACCUCAGUGUCUGGGCUGAACGAUGGGGGUGGAGGCACUCCUUCAGGUAUACUGGGCUGAGGCCAUUUAGGGCUUUAAAGCUCAGCACCAACACUUUGAAUUAUGCCCAGAAACGUACUGGGAGCCAAUGUAGAUCUUUCAGGACUGGUGUUAUGUGGUUCGGCGCCUUGGCAAGUUUAGGGCUCAAAGCGCUCCAGUCCUCUUGUGCAACAAGCCAGCUUUGAAAAGCACCAGACUUCUUGUGGAAAUGAAAGUGAUAAGGAAAUCCACCAGAAAGUGUGGGAGAACUAUGGAGUGGUGGGGGCCAUAUAACCUCCAUGCAGACAAGUCAGAAUGAAUGCUCAGUAAACAAAUAAAUAGUGGGCAUUGUAUGCAGAAGCCUUUUGCAAACAAAUUAGGACACAUGCUCAGUGAGUGGUUCAUCUGCAGGUACCUGGGAAUCUGAUCCCUCCCCUGGCGGGCAGCCAAGAAGCAGAUAACAGGAAGAGUUCUUACCAAGUCCUUUAUUCAAUAUACCUCUCCAUCCCAGCAAUGGCGUUUCUCUGAGUAAAGUCCCACCCCCUCCAUCUCUCCUAUUGUACGUCAUCCCUGCAUCGGCUGAUCUGUGCUUUCUGCCUCUGAGUUUUCUGUUCUACUACUCUUGACGCACGCCGGGUCCCAGGAGGAGCAGGGUCAGGAAUGCUUUCUAAUGAUAACGUGUCAGCCAGCUGCUCCAGCUCUGCUGCUUCCCACCUUUCUCUUCUUUUUUCUCCCAGCUUUUCCCCUCUUCUGUCUCAGAGUCAUGGCCUUCUGCAAAGGUCUGUUCUUAACCUGAAACUGUUCUUAACCUGAAGCACCACAUUAACUAAUGGGGCCUCCUGCUGCCACAGCGCCACCAGAGCACGAUUUCUGUUCUCAUCCUGAAGCAAAGUUCUUAACUCGAGGUACUAUUUCUGGGUUAGCAGAGUCUGUAACCUGAAGUGUAUGUAACCUGAAGCGUAUGUAACCCGAGGUACCACUGUACUAGCCUCCUCUUCUCAAGAUGGUUCAGGAGAAGGAGGGUGGGAUGUCUCCACCAUACCUCCUCUGAGGUCCAGUCCCUGACAGUCCCUCUUAGUGCAGAAUGGAUGUUGCUCAUAAGUUUGUCCUGCCAUGCAUACCCACCAAACCCUGUGGACAUAUAUCCCUGCACAUUGACACCACCAUCGAUUCAGGCGGAUUUCUGUUAUCAGGGUAGCUCCUUCAAACAAGCUUUGGACACACACAGAGAGAAAUCUCCUCCAAAUACUACAGAGAGAGGGAAAGGGACCUGCUGGAAUGGGACGGCAGACAAAUCCCUUACUCUUGCAUUCUCUGUGGUUUUCUGGGGCAUUUGUUUUCUUUUUACUUAUUUUGGGGAUUGUGGCUUCCUUUUUUGAGCUAGGGCGUGGAAACUUGACAACACAACAAAGCUAGUGUGCUGAAGCUGUCAGAAGGACAAGCCCAGGCUGUGCUGUAAAUAUCCUGGCAGAAAAGGAACAGCAACAAAAAAAACCCCGCUUUCAACAUGCUUCGGAAAAGUAAUAAUAAAAAAUUAAAUGUCCAGAUUGCAAACUGUGCCGUGAACAAAGGUCUUUUGUAAGCCUCAGUGGCUGCUUUAUUCAAAGCUUCUGCUAUUAAACAAAAUAGUACCCUAUUGUGUAUUUGGCCACAUUCAUGGUUUAACCAGUCCAGUUAAGAAGUUCCCACCAAAGAAGAAUGAAUAAGUAAGGUGGUGGGCUGGUAAUUGGCAAAAUUAACAGCCAAAAUAAGAGAGCCUAAUGAUGAUAAUCUUGUGGAAGAAUGAAAGCCUUUCUUGGAUUACUUAAAGAAAUACUAUAGUAUGAUGAAUUCACGGGCAGGAUUUGAACCACGAGCAACAGAAGGAAUUAGAGAUUAUUGUAUUGUUGUUAUGGCAUAGAAGAUAGAAGCUAGGGUUCAGCGAAGGGGCAGAAAUGGGAAAAAAGCACCAUGGAAAACGGGGUGGGAAGUUGACAAAACAAAAGAAAACUGUAUUAUGUAUUGGAGUGUAUAUGUGAAACUUUUGAAAUUUAAUAAAAUAUAACUAAAACAAAAACAAAAGAAC